rnacentral:rRNA from 1 species
AACAAACGCUGGCGGCGUGUCUUAAGCAUGCAAGUUGAGCGGCAAGGAGGAGAGAUCCUCCCUAGAGCGGCGGACUGGUGAGUAACGCGUGGGUAAUCUAUCGUAGGCAUGGGGAUAGUCACUAGAAAUAGUGGGUAAUACCGAAUACGUUCCAUGAGGGGAGUACUUAUGGAAGAAAGGGUGCUAUGGCACUGGCCUUAGGUGAGCUCGCGUCCCAUUAGCUAGUUGGUGAGGUAAAGGCCCACCAAGGCGAUGAUGGGUAGCCGGCCUGAGAGGGUGUACGGCCACACUGGGACUGAGAUACGGCCCAGACUCCUACGGGAGGCAGCAGCUAAGAAUAUUCCGCAAUGGACGAAAGUCUGACGGAGCGACGCCGCGUGGAUGAAGAAGGCCGAAAGGUUGUAAAGUUCUUUUGCUAGGGGAGAAUAAGUGAGGGAGGGAAUGUCCUCAUGAUGACAAGGACUAGCGAAUAAGCCCCGGCAACUACGUGCCAGCA